rnacentral:sRNA from 1 species
GCUGGGUGCAGUGGUGCAUUCCUGUAAUCCCAGCAGCUAGGGAAGCUGAGACAGGAGGAUCACAAGUUCAAAGCCAGCCUCAGCAACAGCAAGGUGCUAAGCAACUCAGUGAGACCCUGUCUCUA